rnacentral:lncRNA from 1 species
AUAUGCAUUAAUAUAUGAUAUUUGUUUUUCUCUUUCUGCCUUACUUCACUCUGUAUGACUGACUCUAAGUCCAUCCAAAUCUCUAUAGAUAGCCCAAUUUUGUUCCUUUUUAUGGCUGAGUAAUAUUCCAUUGUGUGUAUGUAACACAUCUUCUUUAUCCCUUCAUCUAUUGAUGGAUAUAUGGUCACCUAAUCUAUAACAAGGGAAGCAAGAAUAUGCAAUGGAGAAAAGACAGUCUCUUUAACAAGUAGUGCUGGAAAAACUUUAUAGCUACAUGUAAAAGAAUGACAUUAGAAUACUACCUAACACCAUACAUAAAAAUAACCUCAAAAUGGAUUAAAGACCUAAAUCUAAGACCAGACACUAUAAAACUUUUAUAGGAAAACACUCUUUGGCAAAAAUCACAGCAAGAUCCUUUUGGCCCACUUCCUAGAGUAGUGAAAAGAAAAACAAAAAUAAACAAAUAGGACCUAAUUAAACUUAAAAGCUUCUGCAUGGCAAAGGAAACCAUACACAAGAUGAAAAGAUAGCCCUCAGAAUGGGAGAAAACAUUUGCCCUGACUUUUUGGCCUCAGCUGUGUGAUUUGCUUUGGCCAAGGGGAUGCAAGGCAAGGCUUUACAUGUGUCUGAGUGUUGGGGGUGCCCUCUGGUGCUUUUGCCUUGCAGGAGGAUAUGCCCUGCAAGGCUACUGCUGAAAGCAGGAGAGACGUAUGAGGCUGACCUGGAUCCCACCAGGAGUCCAGAACCAAGCCCUGCUGAGCUCAUGCUAGAUCAGCUUGCCCCCAGACCACCAACAGGUGCUGUGCAACGUCUCUCAAGAAGGUUUGCCUUGGAAGCUGUGACACAAGGCAAGGCGUGUGGUUGACUCACCUGGUACCUGAUGAAAUCCUAAUAGCUGCUUUACUGUACACAUGUCCUGAUGAUUUGUUUGUUUCCGGUUUCUUUGUUUAAUAAUUAUGGUUUGAGGCUAAAGAUGUGGGAAUGGGAAAGGAAGAUUUUGAUUUUGUGUGAGCAUGUGUGUAUGUGGUAAUACUAAACUAAGAAAUAAAUCCAGUUCAACUACAUAUCAGAUUUC